rnacentral:lncRNA from 1 species
UCUUAAAAAGAGGAGAGAAAUUGAUUUUUUUCAGGAAAAACAAACUUUAAAAUAAAAAAGAGGAGAAUAAACCUUUUUCUCCCCUUUCCCCAUCCUCUCUCUAUCUAUCCCUCUUUCCCAGGAACAAAUCAAAAGAUGGAUUAUCUUGUGAAGAAUGUAAACUGUCAAUCCAGAAUGAUGUCUUUUUCUCAAUGCAGGGAGCUAUAGAUUCUCAAAUUACCUCCCUAAGAGUGGGAGGGGGCAUUGGAGCAACUGGAGAGGAGCCAGGGGAGCAGGGUAAUGACUUUUUUUUUCUUUAGUGAAGGAGGAAUACAGUCAAAUGUUUUGUAUUCAGAAUGUUGUGCCAUAUUUUGGAAUGGGACAUUGGUGUGUUAGAGAUUUAGUUUAAAAACAAGAUUGAUCAACUCUGUACGGUUUAUAUUGUUCC